rnacentral:rRNA from 1 species
GACGUAGGAUGCAAGCGUUGUCCGGAAGUUUAUUGGGCGUAAAGAGUUCGUAGGUGGUUUGUUAAGUCUGAUGUUAAAGACUGGGGCUCAACCUCGGAAAUGCAUUGGAUACUGGCAGACUCGAGUGUGGUAGAGGCAAUCGGAAUUCCAGGUGUAGCGGUGAAAUGCGUAGAUAUCUGGAAGAACACCGGUGGCGCAAGCGGAUUGGCGUGGGGCCUAACGUGAACGCUG